rfam:Triticum aestivum genome assembly, contig: Triticum_aestivum_CS42_TGACv1_scaffold_163543_2DL
CAAAUACUCCCUCCGCCCGGAAAUACUUUUCAUCAAAAUGGAUAAAAGGAAAUGUAUCUAGACGUAUUUUAGUUUUAGAUACAUCUCUUUUUAUCCAUUUUGCUGACAAGUAUUUUCGGACGGAGGGAGUAGAAA